rnacentral:rRNA from 1 species
UACGGAGGGUGCAAGCGUUAAUCGGAAUUACUGGGCGUAAAGCGCGCGUAGGCGGUUUGAUAAGUCGAUUGUGAAAUCCCCGGGCUCAACCUGGGAAUUGCAGUCGAGACUGUCAGACUAGAGUGUGGGAGAGGGUGGUGGAAUUCCCGGUGUAGCGGUGAAAUGCGUAGAUAUCGGGAGGAACAUCAGUGGCGAAGGCGACCGCCUGGCCCAACACUGACGCUGAGGUGCGGAAAGCGUGGGUAGCAAACAGGA